AGUGAACGCUGGCGGUAGGCCUAACACAUGCAAGUCGAACGGCAGCACAGUAAGAGCUUGCUCUUACGGGUGGCGAGUGGCGGACGGGUGAGGAAUACAUCGGAAUCUACUUUUUCGUGGGGGAUAACGUAGGGAAACUUACGCUAAUACCGCAUACGACCUACGGGUGAAAGCAGGGGAUCUUCGGACCUUGCGCGAUUGAAUGAGCCGAUGUCGGGUUAGCUAGUUGGCGGGGUAAAGGCCCACCAAGGCGACGAUCCGUAGCUGGUCUGAGAGGCUGAUCAGCCACCCUGGAACUGAGACACGGUCCAGACUCCUACGGGUGGCAGCAGUGGGGAAUAUUCGACAAUGGGCGCAAGCCUGAUCCAGCCAGACCGCGUGGGUGAAGAAGGGCUUCGGGUUGUAAAGCCCUUUUGUUGGGAAAGAAAAGCAGCAGGUUAAUACGCCGCUGUUCUGACGGUACCCAAAGAAUAAGCACCGGCUAACUACGUG
rnacentral:rRNA from 1 species